rnacentral:rRNA from 1 species
GACGAACGCUGGCGGCGUGCUUAACACAUGCAAGUCGAACGGAAAGGCCCUGCUUAUGUGGGGUGCUCGAGUGGCGAACGGGUGAGUAACACGUGAGUAACCUGCCCUUGACUUUGGGAUAACUUCAGGAAACUGGGGCUAAUACCGGAUAGGAGCUCCUGCUGCAUGGUGGGGGUUGGAAAGUUUCGGCGGUUGGGGAUGGACUCGCGGCUUAUCAGCUUGUUGGUGGGGUAGUGGCUUACCAAGGCUUUGACGGGUAGCCGGCCUGAGAGGGUGACCGGCCACAUUGGGACUGAGAUACGGCCCAGAAUCCUACGGGAGGCAGCAGUGGGGAAUAUUGCACAAUGGGCGGAAGCCUGAUGCAGCAACGCCGCGUGCGGGAUGACGGCCUUCGGGUUGUAAACCGCUUUCGCCUGUGACGAAGCGUGAGUGACGGUAAUGGGUAAAGAAGCACCGGCUAACUACGUG